rnacentral:rRNA from 1 species
GACGAACGCUGGCGGCGUGCUUAACACAUGCAAGUCGAACGGGAAGGCCCUGCUUUUGUGGGGUGCUCGAGUGGCGAACGGGUGAGUAACACGUGAGUAACCUGCCCUUGACUUUGGGAUAACUUCAGGAAACUGGGGCUAAUACCGGAUAGGAGCUCCUGCUGCAUGGUGGGGGUUGGAAAGUUUCGGCGGUUGGGGAUGGACUCGCGGCUUAUCAGCUUGUUGGUGGGGUAGCGGCUUACCAAGGCUUUGACGGGUAGCCGGCCUGAGAGGGUGACCGGCCACAUUGGGACUGAGAUACGGCCCAGACUCCUACGGGAGGCAGCAGUGGGGAAUAUUGCACAAUGGGCGGAAGCCUGAUGCAGCAACGCCGCGUGCGGGAUGACGGCCUUCGGGUUGUAAACCGCUUUCGCCUGUGACGAAGCGUGAGUGACGGUAAUGGGUAAAGAAGCACCGGCUAACUACGUG